rnacentral:lncRNA from 1 species
GGUGUAUCUAUAAUGUUGCGCAACUGCUGUAGAAACCAGACCCAACUCUCCUCACUCUCUACUUCCAACACACCAAAUGCAACUGGGAAUAGCCAGUUGUGUCCAUCAACUGCAGAAGCUUCUGCUAGCUGGCCUCUCCAUCUUCCAUUCAAAGCAGUCGCAUCGACAGCCAAAUAGGGCCUACAACCAUUCAGAAACCCCUUCCAGCAAGCCUUGAAACAAACA